GAUGAACGCUGGCGGCGUGCCUAAUACAUGCAAGUCGAGCGAACGGACGAGAAGCUUGCUUCUCUGAUGUUAGCGGCGGACGGGUGAGUAACACGUGGAUAACCUACCUAUAAGACUGGGAUAACUUCGGGAAACCGGAGCUAAUACCGGAUAAUAUUUUGAACCGCAUGGUUCAAAAGUGAAAGACGGUCUUGCUGUCACUUAUAGAUGGAUCCGCGCUGCAUUAGCUAGUUGGUAAGGUAACGGCUUACCAAGGCAACGAUGCAUAGCCGACCUGAGAGGGUGAUCGGCCACACUGGAACUGAGACACGGGCCAGACUCCUACGGGAGGCAGCAGUAGGGAAUCUUCCGCAAUGGGCGAAAGCCUGACGGAGCAACGCCGCGUGAGUGAUGAAGGUCUUCGGAUCGUAAAACUCUGUUAUUAGGGAAGAACAUAUGUGUAAGUAACUGUGCACAUCUUGACGGUACCGAAUCAGAAAGCCACGGCGAACUACGG
rnacentral:rRNA from 1 species